GUCACAAAACCAAACACGGCCUCUUAUGAUGCCAUCCUGGCAGCACAAGGGGAUCCACUCUUAAUCCCAAAGCUUCAAUUCUUCCUCGCCAUUGCGAGAAGUUUUAACCCAUUUCUCAAGAAGUACCAAACAGACGAGCCAGUGUUGCCUUUUUUGGCAGAAGAUUUAACUGAGCUCCUGUUGAGUUUACUGCGGCGGUUCAUCAAAAGGGAACUCCUACAGGACCAAACCCCCCUGCAGCUGAUUAAAUUGGACAUCUCUGAGGAGAAGAACUGGGUCUCCCUCAAAAGGGUAGAUAUAGGCUUGGGGGCUGAAUCUGCCAUCAAGGUGAUGUCAUCAUUCAGCAAUUCACAUCCUUUCUCUCGGUCGUGGGCAGAGAAGAAGAAUUUGUUUCCUUCCAACCCCUGAGGCAGCGUCUGGAUGUCUUUCUCCACUCCAAACUCUGCACGUCCCACCCUGACCUGCUAAAGUUCUGCCAAAGUGCUCUCCUCCUGUCCCAUGGACAAGCCACAGUGGAGAGAGGCUUCUCAGUAAAUAAGGAGGUAGAAACGUGCAACCUCCGUGAUGAAUCUCUCGAAGCCCUCAGAUUAAUCUGCGAUAAGGUAAUUGUCUGUGGCGGCGUUCUGAAAGUUCCUCUGACCAAGGAGCUCCUGGCCUCUGCUGCUUCAUCGAGGUCACAAUACAGGCUAUACCUUGAUAGUGAGCGGAAAAAAAAGGAGAAUGCCACACAGGAGCUGAAGAGGAAAGCAGCAGAGAAAGAGCUGGAGGACCUCCGGAACCGGCGGCAGGUACUCCACAGUGUGUGCCAUUCACUCCAAAAUGACGCCGACAAAUAUGCAGAGAUGGCCGAGGGAAAGGCAGGAACAAAGAUGGCUGAGCUCAUCACAAAAUCAAACA